CAACAUAUAAGUAAUUGCUGCGUUAUUUAUGUUGCUGCUAAAGCUUUAAGGCUGUGACAUAAAUUAUUCCAAGUCUUGUAAAUAUCUUGACUUGGUUAAAACUAACAAAAUUAAAAAUUAAAAGGUGUUGCUUGUGCGUAGGUUCAUCUAUAACAAAAAUGUAACGAACAGCUUGCAGCUUUUUUUU
rnacentral:telomerase_RNA from 1 species